rnacentral:rRNA from 1 species
GACGAACGCUGGCGGCGUGCUUAACACAUGCAAGUCGAGCGACUGCAUUCUUUUCGGAGGGUGUAUGGAGCGGCGAACGGGUGAGUAACACGUGAGUAAUCUGCCUUUGGCUUGGGAAUAACUUCGGGAAAUCGGGGCUAAUGCCUGAUGUUUACUGUCUGCUGCAUGGUGGGUGGUGGAAAGAUUUUUUGUCCGACGGAGU